rfam:Gossypium raimondii Chr07_contig_31, whole genome shotgun sequence.
UGUUAAAAAUUUAAUCCACUUUUAUUGUUAAAAAUUAGUGUGGUUAACAAAAUAACCAGACAUAUAUGGACAAAUUUUUAACAGUAGAAAUGAAUGAAAUUUUUAAUA